UGAAGACCGUUUGCUCCCCUCCCCUCUCGGCUUCGAACUGGCGGGUCUU
rfam:Xanthomonas translucens pv. undulosa strain Xtu 4699, complete genome.